AGUGCCAUCUUCGUGUUUCUAGG
rnacentral:piRNA from 1 species